rnacentral:lncRNA from 1 species
GCUUUCCCGCCGGCGGCGGCGGCGGCCGCGGCCGCGGGCCGGGGAGACGGCCUUGCAGAGCGCGGGAUCCCAGGGCUGCGAGGGUGACCCAGAGCAAGCCCUGGCGCACGCGCGCUCCGCUCGACGCGGUGCUCCCGGGGUGCGUCUCUGCGAAACGCUCGGCCCUAACCGGCCCUGCACCCGGCGGGGGCGGCGGGCACUGAGCCGCUGGCUCUCGGCUGCCGCGAACAAAGGGCGCAGGAUUUAACCUCGGCUCUCUGGGCGUGCCUUUGCAGGCCCUCGUGCGCUCUGCUGGGGAAAAGAAAAAAAGCUUCUGCCAAUGCCAGUGCAGCUGUGUGUCCGCUGUAGUUGUGCAGGUUAAUUCUGCGCGAGCGAAAACACCGAGAAAGACGUUCAGGCACUGGAUAUCCACGCAGGCCUUAAGGAACCCCUGUGCAGCCUUGUGCCACGAGAGGAGUGGAUUCACUAACUUUCACGCUGAUUCCUCAAACCAAGUUGUUUCAUUUUUGGCCAAAACUCUUUAUGUUGAUCACUUUCCUUGAGUACCUACUGUCUGCCUAGUGUUGGAGACAUGGAAAUAAACGAUAAUUGUUUUGCCUGAAAACAGCACAGUUUAGUGGAGAGGACAGACAACUGAGCAGAUACUUACCAAAGCAUGCUUAGUGUUAGGGCACAGGCCCUGGGAAACGAGAAAGAUGCGCCUCCGACAGGAAGUCCAGGCUACAUCUGGAGGGAGGAGAGGCCUGCAGAGCCUGAUGAGGACUGCCACCAUCACCUCCCCCGAAGGAGGACCAGCUGGAGCUGAGGAGCAAGGUGGACUGAGAGAGGAGAGUGAGACCAUAAAGAGGCUUUGCUCUUCCAGAGUUUGGAUUUUGCCCCCAUAAGGCAGAGGGGAGCCCUUGAAAGGGGAAGGUGGAGUGAUGGAUGCAGUGUUCUCUCAGAAGGAUGGUGCAAAGUAGUAAGAGGAGACAGGGAAAGAAUGACCCCAGCCCCCUGGGAAAAUGAGGGCUGAAGGUGGUGGCGAUAGAGAAGGAAGAACAGAUGUUUAGGAAGUGGAGUGGAAGGGCUGAGGCAGAGUAACUGUGAGGUUAAUAAAGGGGGUGUCAAGGAGGAUGCCCACAGCCUGACUUGAUGAAUGACCUGGGUGGUGGGUUUAUGAGUCAACGUAGGGGAUUUAUGGGGAAGAAGGCGUGGGUUUGAGGGAAGACAGAAUGAUGGUUAACACUUGUCGCUUACCAUGUGCCAACGUCUGCUGACAUGCUAUUCUGUACUCUCCGUAACAGGCUUCUGGGUGAGGUGUCCAUUAGUAAUGCCCUCAUUUUAUAAUUCAGGGAGUGAGUUAAUUAAUGUGCCCAAGGUCACACAGCUGGAUCAUUUCCCUUUGGUGCCUGUGGAGUUUGAGCUGCGCCUGGGACAAGUAAGUGAGGAUGUCUAGGAGGCAGUUGGGUAAACACUUGCAGAGUCAGGAGCGAUGGCUGAGAUGAUAGAAAUCUGGGAGUCAUUAGUGCACAGCUAGUGGUGGAAGGAGCUGAAAUAGAUAGGGGGAAAAAGCCCAGGAACACGGGUAUGUAAGGGAUAAGUUGGAGGCAAGAAGAGGUGAAGAGAGAGCUCUGAAGUGAUCAGCUCUGUCUGGUGCUUGGAGUAGAAGUCCAGCAAGAUAAGAAUUGGAAAGUGCCUGACGGGUGCUACAUGCAGGGAGCUUGUCCUGCGUGUAGGCUGGCGUGGUGAGGGCAAAAGCUAGACUGAUGUGUAUCAAAGAGGGGAAGGCAGGCAGGAGAAAGUUUAUAGAAACUUGGCUGUGAAGGCAAGUUGUGAAGACAACAGAAAAAACCUGCAGGAGGAAGUGAGAGUGUUUGCUUGUGUGUUGUUUUGUUUUGAGAUGAGAGUAAUGUACUCUUUUUUAAAAUUAUUUUAUUUUAUUAUUAUUAUACUUUAAGUUUUAGGGUACAUGUGCACAAUGUGCAGGUUUGUUACAUAUGUAUACAUGUGCCAUGUUGGUGUGCUGCACCCAUUAACUCGUCAUUUAGCAUUACGUAUAUCUCCAAAUGCUAUCCCUCCCCCAGAGUAAUGUACUCUUAAUUACUUGUUAAAGGAACAAAGAAAGUAGUUUUCAAAUUUUAUUUUCGGGUCCACUCAUCUUCUACUUCAUUACCACUUCCUAUCACUACUUUUUAAUCUUCCAACUGAACUACCAUUAUAUUUUCCAAAUCCAUCUUGUUUCUGUAACAGCUGUCAUCCGCAAGACCACUAACAUUGCAUUAGAAAGUACAGACAUGAGGCUCGCGCGGUGGCUCAUGCCUGUAAUCCCAGAAUUUUUGGAGGCUGAGGCAGGCAGAUCACUUGAGGUCAGGAGUUCGAGACCAGCCUCGCCAAAAUGGUGAAACCUGGUCUCUACCAAAAAUAUAAAAAAUUAACCAGGUGUGGUGGCACGUGCCUGUAAUCCCAGCUACUCUGGAGGCUGAGGCAGGAGAAUCGCUUGAACCCGGGAGGCAGAGGUUGCAGUGAGCCGACAUCAUGCCACUGCACUUUAGCCUGGGCAAGAGAGCAAGACUCCAUCUCAAAAAAAAAAAAAAAAGUACAGAUGUGAGUAGAUCUCUGUUUCCUACCCUUUGGCAUUUGGCAUUUGGCAUUUCUGGAGAUCUACUGUCUACCAAAUUCUGUCCAAGAUCCCCACACCAUGUUUCCAGCCUGUUGCCAGGGCACAACCCAGGUUUUGUCAUUCCCUGGACACAUCUGGGAAUUGACAUGGCUGGGCCUUUGCUCUCAUAGAAAACCCCUCUCUGCUCCUCUAUAUAGGCAGGCCCAUUUAACAUCUAGUUGAUAUUGAGAUGUCACUGCCUUUUCAUUCAUUAAUCAUGUAUUGAGCAUGUACUUUGUGCCAGGCACUGUGCGGAAAAGCUUCCCCACUCUCCUUUCAGCCAGUCUUGGCAUCUUCCACCAUAUGCUUCUAUGACUCCACCAUAGCACCUCUUACCUUGUAUUGCUGUUAUCUGAAAAAAAAAAAAAAAAAAAAAAAAAAAAAAAAAAAAAAAAAGUCUGCAUUAUUCUGACAUGAUGUGCCCCCGCUGUAUCUCUACCUGUUUCUGUGAAGAGUGGCAGAACUUAAAAAUGGGUCCACAAAGCCAAAUGAGAUCCCCCUUCCCCAAUUCAUACAGUCUGCUUUCCUCUUGUGAGUCAGGGAAAUAGAUCUGGCUAAGGAAGGAUGAAGUCUUAAGCUGGGGUUGGAAAGGGGGACUUGGGAGGAGAGUAGUGAGUUGAGCUUUGGACAGGUUGCCUUGGGACUCGGUGCUUUACAGCUAUUGGGGCCUAUAAUGGUUGUUGAAUGAGGAAGUGAUAGUCCAAAGGGGGUAUUUUCUGUGUACCAUCCUACUGAGAUUUGAAUGCACAAGAAACAAGAUUUGGCUUCUAAGAUCCAUGUGCUUGAGAUAGUUAACGGAUUUUGGAGGUUCUUUCCUGGAUAGGAUUAUUUGGUUUUUAUGUUGACAGUGUUUGAGAGGUCUUUUAGCAAGUAGUUGGUAUCAGCUAGACUUUGGGUGCCUUGGCAGCAUUUUCUAGCAUUUUCCUGUUCUGAAGACAGCAGCACCUGUAUCUGUUCUGGAACAUCUGGUGGCCAUUUGCACAGCUACUGCUGGACUUCCAUCUUUAUCUCUCCAGGCAGACGAGUCGAACCUUCCAAUAGGAAAUUUUGGGUAAAUGACAAAAACUUAUGAGGGUUGUCCUUUGUGAGCAGACUUUGAAGCAGUAGGAAUGUAGCCUAUUGAAAAGAUGGCCAGAGGUUCAGAAAUAAGCGUGACGGAUAAAAAUCAGCAAGACAUUUAAUACAUCUGCAAACUUGCCUUCUUUCAAAGAACAUUGAUUGAAACAGAUUCGUUUGUUCAUAAUGUGGGUGUGAAAAUAGUUCUGAAAAGCCAUUCUAAACAAACUUAUGUUUUUAAAAAGAGUAGAUGAAAUCUGUUUGCGGAGGAAGGAAAAGAUGACAUUCAGGAAGCAAUGUUCUGGUUAAUUCUGUGUUCUUCAAAAGCCAGCUCAUUUUCUUGAAAAGAAUGCUGGCCACAAUCCACAGGUAUAGAGAAUAUGGAGAGAAAGCAUCUCACGCCUGAAGAGUCCAAUAAAACAUUUAUAGAUAAGAAUUUAAGAGAAUAUGGGUUCUUUCUGUUUUUUGUUUGUUUGUUUGUUUGUUUUUGAGACAGGGUCUUGCUCUGUCGCCCAGGCUGGAAUGCACUGGUGUGAUCAUGGCUCACUGCAGCCUCGACCUCCUGGGCUCAUACGAUCCUUCCACAUCAGCCUCCCAAAUAGCUGAGACUACAGGUACAAGCCUCCAUGCCCAGCUAAUCUCCCUGUGUUGCCCAGGCUGGUCUUGAACUCCUGGGCUCAGGCAAUUCUUCCAUCUCAGCCUCGCAGAGUUCUAGGAUUACAGGCAUGAGCCACCAAACCUGGCCUAAUUUUAAAUUUGUUUGUGGACAGGGUCUUCCUAUGUUGUCCAGGCUGGUCUUCAACUCCUGUUCUUAAGCAAUCCUCCUGCCUCGGCCUCCCAAAGUGUUGGGAAUAUGGGUGGGAAUAUGAGCCACUGCACCCAGCCUUGAAAAUGAGUUCUUUCUAAUGCUUUAUGCCAUAUACUUUCUGGAGAGAGUAUAAACUGGCUGUAUUAUAUGAGACUUCUUUCUCCUUGGUCUGCUUUCCUUCUCUGGCCAGCCUCCUGGAUUCAAGUCAUUUGUCAGAUAUGUGUAUCGUAAAUACUUCCUCCCAGUCUGUGGCUUACCUUUUCAUUAUCUUGCCUCCUCCUCUCUCUGAAGCUUUCCCUGACACCUCUGUGAUUCUUCUUCCUCCCCACUUAGGGAUGUGACUGAACUCUCUCCUGGUUUAGAACUGCAUUUCAACUGCCCACUGGGGAAUUCCACAUGGGGAUCCCUCCAUCCCCAAGGGACCCACCUGACUCCUUUUGUGCAUCUUCUGUCUUCAUGCCCUUUAUGUUGUUGGGGCCAAAACAAUGGAAUGAAAUGUGUGGAAAGCAGGAACUCCAAGAAGGAAGAGCUCAACGGCAGUUGGGCAAUGGGAUUUUAGGGAAUUUUCAUUUUCUUUUUAAUUUUUCAGCAUUUUUCAUACUCCUCACAGAAGGCAUGUAUCACUUUUUUUUUUUUUUUUGAGAAGGAGUCUCACUCUGUUGCCCAGGCUGGAGUGCAGUGGGGUGAUCUCGGCUCACUGCAACCUCCACCUCCUGGUUUCAAGCGAUUCUCCUGCCUCAGCCUCCUGAGCAGCUGAGAUUAUAGGCAUCCGCCAUCGUGCCUGGCUGGUUUUUUUUUUUUUUUUUUGUAUUUUUAGUAGAGAUGCGGUUUUGCCAUGUUGGUCAGGCUGGUCUCGAACUCCUGACCUCAGGUGAUCCGCCCUCCUUGGCCUCUCAAUGUACUGGGAUUACAGGCAUGAGCCACCACACCAGGCCAGUUUUAUUGUCAGAAAGAGUAAGCUCCUUAAAAAAGUAAACAUACAAGUAAGUAUGCAGCAAACCUAAAAUGUUCUGGAUGUCAUCUUAGCUAUGAUUGCAACAGUGAGCAUAUGAGUAACUAAUAAAGGAAAACAAUUUCUCUUCAUCACUUCCUAUCUUACUUAGGAUUAGGAAUCCAAGAUUCUCUUUCCAAAAUGGAAAGUAUUAAAAACCAGUCUCAUCUGAAGUGAAAUGUCACCUUUUAGGACUAGGCCACGCCAGUCCAACAUUUGCUGUUUCAUUCAUUCAGAAAAUAAAUGUGUACAUCUCUUGUGGACAGGCACUGUGCUAGGUGUGUGGAAUACUGUGAUAAGCCCAAACACAGAUAAGUUCCUUCCUCGAGGAACUAUUCCUCCAGAGUCUGGCACCUUGCCCUGAUGUUGAGUAUUUUCCAUGUGUAUAUUGGCCAUAUGUAUACUUUCUUUUCCUUUUUUUUUUGAGAUGGGGUCUUGCUCUGUCACCCAGGCUGGAGUGCAGUGGCUGGAUCUCGGCUCACUGCAACCUCCGCCUCCCAGAUUCCAGUGAUUCUCCUGCCUCAGCCUCCCGAAUAGCUGGGAUUACAGGCACAUGCCACCAUGCCCACCUUAUUUUUGUAUUUUUAGUAGAGACAGAGUUUCACCAUGUUGGCCAGGCUGGUCUUGAACUCCUGACCUUGUGAUCCCCCCACCUCGGCCUCCCAAAGUGCUGGGAUUACAGGCGUGAGCCACCGCACCCGGCCAUGUAUACUUUCUUUAGUAAAGUGUUCAAAUCGUUUGCCCUUUAAAAAAACGGAUCAUUUGGAAGCUUCAAUAGGAAGCUAUUGAAUGAUAUGAGUCCUUUGUCAGAUAUGUGUGUUGUAAACAUUUCCUCACAGUCUGUGGCUUUCCUUUUCAUUUUCUUUUGAAAAGCAGAUGUUUUUAAUUUUGAUGGAUAUAAUUUAUACUUUUUUCUUUUAUGGUUUGUGCUUUUCUGUCAUAUUGAAAAAUUUUUGCUUAUCCCCAGGAUAUGGAAAUGUUCUCCUCUAUUUUCUUCUUGACUCUUUAUAGCUUAGCACUUUUGUUUAAGUCUGUGAUCCAUUUUGAUUUAAUAUAUGUGUAUGAGAUAAGAUAAAUAUCAAGCUUCAUUUUUUUACAUUAGGAUAUCUAGUUGUUCCAGCACUAUUUGUUGGAAAAAAAGAUCAUUUCCCCCAUUGAAUUACUUUGCCUCCUUUGUUGAAAAUCAGUUGACCACAUAUGUGUGGAUCUAGUUCCACGUAUGUGUACUCUGUUCCUUUAUAUAUAUCUAUAUACUUUUCUUGCAUAUACAUAGCCCACUGUCUUAAUUUCUCUAGUAAUUCAAGUAAAUCAGUUAAAGUCUCCAACAUAGUUCUUUUAAAAAUUGUUUUCACUAUGCUGUAAUCUUUGCAUUUCUAUAUAAAUUUUUAAAUCAACUUGUUAAUUUCAAAAAAAAAAAAACACCCCACACAACUGAAAACAAGACAAAAUAGGAAGUAUGCUGGCUAGGCGUGGUGGCUCACGCCUGUAAUCCCAGCACUCUGGGAGGCCGAGGUGGGCGGAUCACGAGGUCAGGAGUUUGAGACCAGCCUGGCCAACGUGGUGAACCCCCGUCUCUAUUAAAGAUACAAAAAAUUAGCUGGUCAUGGUGGCGCUCGCCUGUGCACCUGUAAUCCCAGCUACUUGGGAGGCUGGGGCAGGAGAAUUGCUUGAACCUGGGAGGCAGAGGUUGCAGGGAGCCGAGAUCACGCCAUUGCACUCCAGCCUGGGCAACAGGGUGAGACUCCGUCUCAAAAAACAAAACAACAACAACAACAACAAAAAUCACAAAUGGGUGUUAAUGUUGUCAGAUACCAUGGCUAUAUUCAUUGGGAUGAUUAUGUGAUUUUGUCUAUUCUAUUAUAUUAAUGAAUUACUGUGAUUGGUUUUUGAAUGUGAAACCAACCUGGCAUUCCUAUAAUAAAAUCCACUUGGUUAUGGGAUAUUACUUUUUUUAUAUGUUGCCGGGUUCAAUUUGCAAAGAUUCUGUCUGUCAAAAUAUUUCCUUCUAUAUUCAUGAGUGGUAUUGGUGGUCUCUGUUUUCCUUUUCUUGUAAUGGUUUUGGUGUCGGGGUAGCUUGCUCUCAUCAAAUUAUUUGAUAAGUGCUUCUCUCCUUCCCUGUUAUCUAUUUUUUUUUUUUUUUUUUUUAGAUAGCGUUUUGCUCUUGUCACCCGGCUGGAGGGCAGUGGUGCGAUCUUGGCUCACUGCAACCUCCUGGGUUCAAGCGAUUCUCCUGCCUCAGCCUCUCAAGUAGCUGGGAUUACAGGCAGCUGCCACCAUGCCCAGCUAAUUUUUGUAUUUUUACUAGAGAUGGGGUUUCACCAUGUUGGCCAGGCUGGUCUCGAACUCCUGACCUCAGGUGAUCCACCUGCCUCGGCCUCCCAAAGUGCUGGGAUUACAGGUGUGAACCACCACACCCGACCUCCUUCUCUAUUUUCUAAAAUAGCCUGUGUGGAAUUGAUAUUAUUUCUUUCUUAAGAUUUGUUAGAAUUCACCAAUGAAGCCACUUGGGCCUAAAGUUUUGCUUAUGAGAGGGUUUUAUAUUAAUCAAUUUUUAAAAUUGAUAUAGUGUUCUUCAGGUCUUCUGUUUCUCGAGGGAGUUUUGAUCAUUUGUAUUUUUUUCAGAAAAUUGUCCAUUUAAAGGUUGUCAAUUUAUUGCAUAAAGUUUUUCCAUGAUAUUCUGUUAUUACCCUUUUAAUGUCUGUAGUGAUAUUUCCUCUUUCAUUUCUGAUAUUGAUAAUUUCUAUCUUCUUUUUUUUCUUUUCUUGUUGAGUGAGGUUAGAGAUUCAUCUAUUUUGUUGUUCCAAAAACCAAAGAAACAGUUUUUGGUUUCAUUGAUUAGCUCUAUUGUUUGUGGACUUUCUAGUUCAUUGAUUUUCACUCUUAUUUCCUUUCUUCUGCUUCCUUUAUAUUUAAUUUGCUCUUUUCAAGUUUUUUUUUUUUUUUUUUUUUUGAGACAAUGUCUCACUCUGUCGCCCAGGCUGGAGUGCAGUGGGGUGAUCUUGGCUCACCACAACCUCUGCCUCCCGGGUUCAAGCAAUUUUCCUGCCUCAACCUCCUGAGUAGCUGGGACUACAGGUGUGCGCCACCAUGCCUGGCUAAUUUUUGUAUUUUUAGUAGAGACGGGGUUUCACCAUUUUGGCCAGGCUAGUCUUGAACUCCUGACCUUGUGAUCUGCCCACCUCGGCCUCCCUAAGUGCUUGGAUUACAGGGGUGAGCCACUGUGUCCGGCCUCUUUUCCGGUUUCUUAAAGUGGAGGCCUAGAUCAUUGAUUUUAGCCUUUUUUUUUUUUUUUGAGAUGGAGUCUCGCUCUGCCACCCAGGCUGGAGUGCAGUGGCACCAUCUCGGCUCACUGCAACCUCCACCUCCCUAGUUCAAGCAAUUCUCCUGUUGCAGCUUCCUGAGUAGCUGGGAUUACAGGCACAUACCACCAUGCCCGGCUAAUUUUUUUUUAUGUUUAGUAGAGAUGGGGUUUCAUCAUGUUGGCCAGACUGGUCUCGAACUCUUGACCUCAGGCGUGAGCCAACACGCCCAGCCGAGCCUUUUUUUUUUUUUUUUUUUUUGUAUUGUAAGCAUUUAAAACUUUAAAUUUACUUCUCAAAUUUUGGAGUGUUGUAUUUCUUAAAUAUUUAGUUCAAAAUAUUUUGUAAUUUCCCUUGGGAGUUUUUCUUUUCCCUAAGUUCUUAUUUAUGAAAGUAUUGUUUAAAUUCCAAAUAGUUGGGAAUUUCUGUUAUCUUUCUGUGAUUGAUUAUACUAAUCGAAUUCCAUUAUAGUCACAUAUCAUACUUCAUAUGAUUUCAGUUUUUUUUUAAUUAUUGUGACUUGUUUUGUGGCUCAAUUCAUGGUCUACCUAGAUGAUUGCUCCAUGUGCACUUUAAAAUAAUAUAUAUUCCGCUCUUGUUAGGUAGGAUAAUAAUAUAUAUUCCGCUCUUGUUAGGUAGGAUAAUAAUAUAUAUUCCGCUCUUGUUAGGUAGGAUAAUAAUAUAUAUUCCGCUCUUGUUAGGUUCUGUUAACGUCUCUUGGAUCAAGUUGGUUGAUGGUAUUAUUUAAGUCUUCUAGAUUUCUAUUCUUUUUCUACCUGCUUAUUAUGUCAAUUAGAGAGGAGAUUUGAUGUCUCCUGAUGUGAUUGUGCAUGUAUUUAUUUCUCCUUUCAAUAGCUUUGUGUAUUUUUUUCUUUGUUUGGUUGGUUUUUGAGAUGGAGUCUCCCUUUGUUGCCCAGGCUGGAGUGCAUUGGUGUGAUCUUGCCUCACUGCAGCCUCCGCCUCCCGGGUUCAAUCGAUUCUCCUGCCUCAGCCUCCUGAGUAGCUGGGAUUACAGGCAUGUGCCACCAUGCCCCGCUAAUUUUUGUAUUUUUGGUAGAGACAGGAUUUCACCAUGUUGACCAGGGUGGUCUCAAACUCCUGACCUCAAGUGGUCUGCCCACCUCAGCCUUCCAAAGUGUUGGGAUUACAGGUGUGAGCCACUGCGUCUGGCUGACUCAUGUAUAUUGAAGCUUUGUUACUAGGUACGUAAAAAUUUAGCAUUAUUAUUUCUCCUUGAUGAAUAGACUCCUUAUCAAUUGGAAAAUUUUCUCUUUUUUCUGGUAACAUUCCUUGCCCUGAAUUCUCUUUUACCUGAUAUUGAAAAGCCACUUUGGCUUUCUUGUGGUUAAUACUUGCUUGGUAUAUUUUUUUUCCAUCCUUUUGCCUUUAAUCUAUCUGUGUCUUUAUUUUUAAAGUGGAUUUUUUUGUGGACAGCAUAUAGUUGGGCCUUGCAUUUCAGUCCAUUCUGACAUGUCUGACUUAACUGAAUUGUUUAGACCAUUCACAUUUAAUGUAGUUGUCAAUAGGGUUGAGUUUCAUUCUACCAUUUUGCUGUCUGUUUUCGGUUUGUCCUGUCUGCUCUACUAUUUUUCUCUUCAUUUGGCUUUUUUUGGCAUAGUUGAGUAUUUUAUUAGUAUUUUAUUUGAACUCUACUAGUUAACUUACUAUGUGCACCUCUUUUUCUUUAGUGGUUGAUCUAAGGUUUACAAUAUGCAUCUUUUUUUUUUUUUUUUUUUUUGAGACGGAGUGUUGCUCUGUGGCCCAGGCUGGAGUGCAGUGGCGCUAUCUCAGCUGAGUGCAAGCUCCGCCUCCCAGGUUCAUGCCAUUCUCCUGCCUCAGCCUCCUGAGUAGCUGGGACUACAGGUGCCUGCCACCAUGCCUGGCUAAUUUUUUGUAAUUUUAGUAGAGACGGGGUUUCACCAUGUUAGCCAGGAUGGUCUCGAUCUCCUGACAUUCUGAUCCACCUGCCUCGGCCUCCCAAAGUGCUGGGAUUACAGGCGUGAGCCACCGCACCUGGCCUACAAUAUGCAUCUUUAAGUUAUUACAGUCCACUUUCAAAUAAACUUAUGCUACUCGACAUAUAAUGUGUGAUUCUUAUUAUAUGCCUCUAUUUCCUCUCCAAUCCUGUGCUUAUUGUUGUUUUAUAUUUUAUUUCUACAUGUAUAUUUUAUAAGCCUACAAUACAUUAAUAUUGUUUUUUCUUUAGUCAUUAUUUUGAAAACAAGAAAAUACUUUUUGUAUUUUCCCACAUAUUUAACAUUUUCAGUACUCUUCAUUCCUGUGUAUAGAUCCAAGUUUCCAUCUGUUGUCAAUUUUCUUUUUCAUAGGGAAGUUUCUUUCAUAUUUGUUUUAGGCCAGGCACAGCGCUUGCGUCUAUAAUCCCAGCACUUUGGGAGGCCGAGGUGGGUGGAUCACUAGAGGUCAGUAGUUCAAGACCACCCUGGUCAACAUGCCAAAACCCUGUCUCUACUAAAAAUAUAAAAAUUUGGCUGGGUGAGGUGGCUCACACCUGUAAUCCCAGCUACUCAAGAGGCUGAGGCAGGAGAAUUGCUUGAACCCAGGAGGGGGAGGUUGCAGUGAGCCGAGAUCACGCCACUGCACUCCAGCCUGGGCAACAGAGCAAGACUCCGUCUCAAAAAAAAAAAAAAUUUUUGUUUUAGUGCACAUCUGCUGUCAGUGAAACCUCUCUGUUCUUGUUGAUCUGAAAAAGUCUAUAUUUUACCUGAAAUUCUGAAAGGGAUUUUCUGUGGGUAUAGAAUUCUACAUUUACAGGGUUUGCCCCUUACCUAGCACUUGAAAAUGUGUCAUUCCAUUGUUUUCUGGCUUGCAUAGUUUCUCAUGAGAAAUCUGUGAGAUAAUUCUUAUAUUUGUAAAUAAUUGCCUUUUGUCCAAUGUCUGAAAAUUGUUAUUUCCUGUAUAUUUUCCAGUUUUCUGGUUUGUUUCUUUUUUAUGGUGAAAUGGUAAUUCUGUACCGUUACUACCUCAUGAUGAGAGACAGAAGUUCCAUACUUAGAGCCUUUUUGUGUUCUAAGAAUUCUUUGCCUGUCCUAAGAUCAUGAGGAUAUCCUCUGUGUUUCUUUUAAAAGCUUUACAGUUUUAGUGCACAGAUUUUAGGUCCAUGGCCUAUCUCAAGUAAAUUUUUUUGUAUGUGCGUGAGACAGGAAUAAAGGUUCAUUUUUUAAAAAGUUAUUUCAUCAUCCUUUAUUGAAAAGCUUUCUUCCCUCCAUUGAACUGCAUUGGAACUUCUGUCUAAAAUUAAGUGGCUACAUAUGUGUGGGCCUAUUUCUGACCUCAUUAUUCUGUUCCUUUCAUCACCAGUACCACACUGUCUUGAUUGCUGUAACUUUAUAGUAAGUUUUGAAAUUAGGAAGUCUUCCAACUUUGCUCUUCUUUGAGGUUAUCUUGUCACAAGGACCCAAGUGGCAGUAAUUUUUAAAGCUCCUCAGGUGAUUCCAAUGUGAAGCCAAGGUUAAGAAGUACCGUCUUAGGGGCUGAGGAGUCCUAGGCUGGUCCCGCUGGGUUUGUGGUUUUGUGGUUUUGUGUUUUCAACGCAUUUCCUUCAGGACAGUAUGUUUAUAGUCUGUUUGCUUCUGAAUAAUUUCAUGUGUAAGUAACCACAUCCAAGGGCUUUGUGGAGAAAUGGCCUUUAAGCCUAAGAACUCUUGGCUCCAAGCUGCUGAUCAUUGUGCCCUGUCCCGUCCCCUCUCCCAUAGGUUCAGUGGCUAUUGCAUGAGAUAAUUUGAUAGAAAAGAGUUACAUGGGGAACACUGCCCUUAGUCACCUCUUUGGUGUCUAAGUGCCCAAACUCCCCUGCUUAGACAGUCACUUUCCUGCGUCCCCUUGUAUUAGCUUCAACUGAAGUAGAGGAAAAAUUGCCUUUAUUAACCCUGCCAGGCUUAAAAUUAUGGGACUCUCUGUUAAAUUGGAUUGGAGAAGAACUUCACAUUUAGUAAAACUGAUUUUCCCCCCACUCACCUCUCAAACCAGGUGUCUCUAAGUUAAGAUCUCCUCUUGGCCGGGUGCGGUGGCUCACACCUAUAAUCCCAGCGCUUUGGGAGGCCGAGGCGGGUGGAUCACAACGUCAGGAGAUCGAGACCAUGCUGGCUAACAUGGUGAAACCCCGUCUCUACUAAAAAUACAAAAAAUUAGCCGGGCGUGGUGGCGGGUGCCUGUAGUCCCAGCUACUCGGGAGGCUGAGGCAGGAGAAUGGCAUGAACCCGGGAGGCGGAGCUUGCAGUGAGCCGAGAUCGCACUACUGCACUUUAGCCUGGGCAACAGAGCAAAACUCUGUCUCAAAAAAAAAAAAAAAUUCUCCUCUCUUGGUAAGUUAGGGUAUAAGAUAAGCUGCUGAAACAAAGGGACCCCCCACCCCCUAACACAAAUAUGUGUUUUAAAAAGUUUAUUUCUCUCUCAGGUAAUGCUCAAGAAGUGAGCAGUCCAGAGCUGGUGAGGUGAUUCUGCCAUCCCCAACAUGUGAACUCCAGGGUGACUUUGCCAUUUGUCAUGAUUUUCUAGCCACAGGAUGGAGAAAGAGGAAGUAGAAGGCCUGCAGUUUCCAUUUUAGGAUGUUACAUACUUCAUGUUCACUCAUAUCCCAUUGGUCAGAGCUUGGUCACAGGGCCAUGCAAGGUGCAGGGGAGGCUGGGAAAGGUAUUUUUGGACCGGAUGACCAUGUAUCUUGCUGAAUCUCAGAAAACUUCUAUUAUUAAAGGUACUAAAGUCUGAAUGGAUAUGGGAGGAAAAUCAUUAAUCUUCACCAUGGCUGUCUUUUGCCAAGAGCCCAAUAAGGUUUGGCUGUGUCCCCACCCAAAUCUCAUCUUGAAUUGUAGCUCCUAUAAUUCCCACGUACUGUGGAAGGGACCUGGUGGGAGAUAAUUGGAUCCUGGGGGCAGGUCUUUCCCGUGCUAUUCUUGUGAUAGUGAAUAAGUCUCACAAGAUUUGAUAGUUUUGUAAAGGGGAGUUUCCCUGCACAAGCUCUCUUCUCUUGUCUGCUGCCAUGUGAGAUGUGCCUUUCACCUUCUGCCAUGAUUGUGAGGCCUCCUUAGCUACGUAGAACUGUGAGUCCAUUAAACCUCUUUCUCUUGUAAAUUGCCCAGUCUCGGGUAUGUCUUUAUCAGCAGUAUGAAAACAGACUAAUACAGAGCUAUAACAAUGAAUAAAAAAAUCAACAUUCUGAAAUUUCAUACCAUUCCUCCCAAUAGCACAGCAUGUAGAGUUGGCCACAUUUUACCUAAAUCUUUUGCCAUCACCAAAUUACUGACCUGGAAUAAUUUAAUCUUACUGCCUUCUAUCCUACCUCUUCUGCUCAGCCAAUUAAUAUUUUAGAGUCUAUUUCUCAUAGCAAACCACUUCAAAACAUAAAAUUCUGUCUCAAGUAGGAAUGCUUAUGGCUGCAAGUAAUGACAACCUGAUCAAUAGCUUAAAAAGGGGUUUAUUUUUCUCAUUACAUAAAAAGUCUAGAGUAGUGGUUUCUGGCAUUGGUUCCAAUGCUGCAGCCGAGGACUAAGACUCUUUCUUUCAUUCUGCUUGACUUUUCUUAACAUGUUGGCUUUUUGACUUCUUCUUUGUUAUUUUGUGCUUGCAAGAUGAUUGCUAUGGUUCCAGCCAUCACAUCUAUUUCUUUUUUUUUUUUUUUGAGAUGGAGUUUUGCUCUUGUUGCCCAGGCUGGAGUGCAAGGGCAUGAUCUCAGCUUACCGCAACCUCCACCUCCUGGGUUCAAGUGAUUCUCCUGCUUCAGUCCCCCUAGUAGCUGGGAUUACAGACAUGCGCCACCAUGCCCAGCUAAUUUUUUUUUUUUUUUUUUUUUUUAGUAGAGAUAGGGUUUCUCCAUGUUGGUCAGGCUGGUCUUAAACUCCCAACCUCAGGUGGUCCACCCGCCUUGGCCUCCCAAAGUGCUGGGAUUACAGGCGUGAGCCACCGUGCCCGGCCCAUCGUAUCUAUUUCAAAGUGUGAAUCAGGAGAGAGGGUGGUAUCUGCUGCGUCUGCUCCUUACUUACGUAAAGAAAGGAGGUUAUUCCACCAAGAUCAUGCCAUUGCAUUGCAGCCUGGGCAACAGAGCGAGACUCUGUCUCAAAAAAACUAAACUAAACUAAAAUAAUAAAAAUUUAAAAAUUAGAAAAGAGGCUAUUCCAGAAAUGUCUCCCCACAGGUCUCCUUACCUCCUUAUUGACCAGAAAUGAGCCAUGUGCUCAUUCCUAAACCAAUGGAAAGAAGAAAGGGAUUGGAUGAACACCAGUCAGGAUUCAUCUGCUAGGGCUAGAAUAUGAGCAACUUUCCUUUAGAACAAGGGAUCUUUGCCUUCUAUCUGAACAAGUAAGUUCUAUUAGCAAGGGAGAACAGGGAAGAAGGAAGCUAAGGUAUGGCUAAUGAGUGAGAACAAAGACUAACGGCCACACAGACAGGACACUGUGAGUGUGAGUGUGGGCUGUGUGAUUGUGUAAGCACGCAGGAAGUAUGGAAGGAUGUAUACUUGGUUGUCAGCACAUGCCACAUCACAGUGGGAAAGGGGGCAUGGAUACAGGUGAAGGUGGGAGGGGAAGCAAACAAAACUGAAAAGAAAAAGUGGCCUAAAAAUAUGGCGAUCACGUUUAUGCAUUUAUGUCCAAUUGUGUACUUAUGUGAAUAUCUAAAUAAAUUUGAAAAAUGUUUAAAAUAAUCCUGAUCCCAUCCUAAAUACAGGUAGUUUUUUGCAUUAUGUCAGCACCCUGGCUGAGCCCCUGCAUUCAAGCAAAAAAACUAAAUCAAUGAAUGAUGAGUACAUGAAUAAAUGAAUAAGUCCAUAGCAGCCACAGUAGAUAUCCCAUUGUCCACGGAUUAAGAUCGUUCAUGCCACCAGCUAGAGGGACAGCCACUCUGCACUCACUCCCUAGCAUAGUUAUCUAGUGCAAUUCUAACAUCUUGAAUCUUCUUCUUUUUGUUUUAAAGUCCCAGCAUAUGAAAAGUAGAAAAAUAGUUAAGGAGGCUACUAGAGAUAGGGAAACUGACAGCAACUAGAGGUAACAGCUGACAUGUUGACAGUGAAGAAGACAGCCAUCUAUAGGAAGCAGACACAAGAACACACAAAGAACAUACACAAGAACACACACGAUCUAUAGACAGCAAUCUAUAGGAAGCAGACGAAAGAACACACAAAGACAACACUGUCAGGCCAUUUUGUUUAGGAGGAACUUGUUCCAGGCACCUCCAUAACCCCCGGUGGCACUGGUUUUACAGCAAGUCACAACAAGGCUGCUAUACACAUCAGGCCCCAGUGAAUGAGGAAUGGGAGAGUAUGCGCCACAUUCUCUGUUUAAGAAGGCAAGGCGGUGUGUGAUAGAACAGAGGACAAGGGCUAUGCCCAGUUCAUCCUUGUGACUUUCAAGGCACAACUUUCAGCUCUCAGCUGGAUGCCACAUCUGGACUCCGCAGCCUUCUCAAGCUCAGCACAUUUUAAACUCUUCCUGCGUCAUUUCCAACUGAGGUGCCAAGUUGUCAUUGGCUACCAAAGCUAUAGGCAAAUCCAUGUAUUGAGAUUUUCAAGGGCAAUGUCUGAAAAAGUGUUUCUCAGCAAUUCCUCAUCCUUCCCUACUUGGA